CACAUGACCGCUAUAGCUCUCGCGAUAUCCCUGCUGGGAAACAAGAGAGCCGCGACCACGUGAUCCACCACUGGGCCACCUGAUCCAGUAACCAAGCAACCGCUAACGCUACUCUCCCUAAUGAUCCACUUCCGCCUCAAUCAAAAACCAGUUUUCCUGAUUGCUCUCUCCACUAUGGAAUUCAUUGAACUGCUGAGAUCACGUAAAUGCCAAGAAGGGAGUUCUGCCCAAGCUGUGGACGGUGCUGAGAGAGGGAGGAAGAGGACUGGCUACUAUAAUCUUCCCCAAUCUGCUGCUGUUUAUUAGCAAAGUCCCCAAUAAAAUAACGCAGCCGCGGACGGACUUCUACAGCACUUUGUUCGACUCUUUAAUCCAAGGGUAUGUUUAGUUUUCAUAUGCAGACUGUGACCAAUGACAACUCGACUUCAUUCCUUCUAAUGUUAUUAAAGAUAUCUGUAUACUGCUGCUAUCUCCAGUAUAUAGUAGUUAUAUACCUCUCCCCCCCAGCACUUUCUGUAUACUGCUGCUUCUAUCUCUACGGGUCAGGAUAGAUAGUAGUUAUACACCUAUCCUCCAGCUCUACCUGUAUACUACUGCUGCUAUCUCUAUGGGAUCCGGAUAUAUAGUAGUUCUACACCUCUCCCAAAGUUAUGUCCACACAUUGCACUUCCUGCUGCUUUUUUCUGUU